ensembl:snoRNA
GGCCUCCUGAUGCUUACCACAGGCUGUGUUCUUACACUGACUGUAUAGAAAGAGGAGGCAGAGUAAACCCACCCCAUAUACACCUCAGCCCAGGCAGGCCCUUUACCUGGUCUGCAUUGUGAAUGGGGAGACAUGG